AUUGAACGCUGGCGGCAGGCUUAACACAUGCAAGUCGAGCGAGCGGCGGACGGGUGAGUAAUGUCUGGGAAACUGCCUGAUGGAGGGGGAUAACUACUGGAAACGGUAGCUAAUACCGCAUACCAUCAGAUGUGCCCAGAUGGGAUUAGCUAGUGGGGGGGGUAAUGGCUCACCUAGGCGACGAUCCCUAGCUGGUCUGAGAGGAUGACGAGCCACACUGGAGCUGAGACACGGUCCAGACUCCUACGGGAGGCAUCAGGGGGGAAUAUUGCACAAGGGGCGCAAGCCUGAUGCAGACAUGCAGUGUGUGUGAAGAAGGCCUUCGGGUUGUAAAGCACUUUCAGCGAGGAGGCGUUACUCGCAGAAGAAGCACGGGCUAACUCCGUGCCAGCCGCGGCGGUAAUUC
rnacentral:rRNA from 1 species